UCGUGUCGUAAGAUGUUGGUUUUAAGUCCCGCAACGAGCGCAACCUUUUAUUUUAGUUGCCAGCAUUCAGUUGGGCACUUUAAGGUGACUGCCGGUGACAAACCGGAGGAAGGUGGGGAUGACGUCAAAUCAUCAUGCCCCUUAUGACCUGGGCUACACACGUGCUACAAUGGAUGGUACAAAGGGCUGCAAACCUGCGAAGGUAAGCGAAUCCCAUAAAGCCAUUCUCAGUUCGGAUUGCAGGCUGCAACUCGCCUGCAUGAAGCCGGAAUCGCUAGUAAUCGCGGAUCAGCAUGCCGCGGUGAAUACGUUCCCGGGCCUUGUACACACCGCCCGUCACACCACGAGAGUUUGUAACACCCGAAGUCGGUG
rnacentral:rRNA from 2 species